GAGAACAAAGGCGUUGUUGUAGCCAUUUUGGCCAUGCUACAACGAUGCAGACAGCUCUCUUUGUCACUCCUACAACGUGCUUGUUCAAACAACACAUUUUCUUUCAGGUUUUGUGCUUUAGGCAGAGUGACAUGAUGCAGGAUGGAGUUGCGAAGAGUUCCAGGACAUGGUCAAAGAUGGCUGGAACAGUCGGAUGGAUUUGCAAUCAUGCAAUAAAGGCCCACAUGAGACGCCAUGGUCAAAUGGUUGGAGAUCGUUGAGAGUUUGCAGCUAUUGAUGAAAGUUGUUGUAAUAAUAGCAAGUAUCACCACAGAAGGGCCGGUGCAACAUGGCGACGGAAAAAGUGGGUAUUAAGAAUAUUAGGAGUAGGUGACCGCCAGAAACAUCCUGUCUUGUGGCUGGUGUGGUUAAACAAGUGCGUCCGGGAACCACCGUCAUCAGUGACCAAUGGGGCACUUACAGGAGUGCAUUGACUGCGACAGGCUACAGGCACUUCACAGUGAACCACUGUCAGUAGUUUGCGGAUCCAAACACCUUGCGCGCCUCCCAGUAUGUCAACCCCAGCUUUCUCUGUGGACCAUGCAACUUGGACUUUCCGAGUUUCAUAUAGGACAAUGCAUCUUGCUCUGCAUCUGUAAACCAUGGAUUCAUCUUUUGGACAUUUUCAGGAGAAUGGCUGUGUGUGUGUGCGUGUGUGUGCGUGUG